rnacentral:rRNA from 1 species
GACGAACGCUGGCGGCGUGCUUAACACAUGCAAGUCGAACGGAAAGGCCCUGCUUUUGUGGGGUGCUCGAGUGGCGAACGGGUGAGUAACACGUGAGUAAACUGCCCUUUACUUUGGGAUUACUUCAGGAAAAUGGGGCCAAAACCGGGUAGAUGUAUUUGCUCCCUGGUGGGGGUUGGAAAGUUUCGGCGGUCGGGGACGGAUUGGUGGAUUAUCAGCUUGUUGGUGAGGUAGUGGCUUACCAAGGCUUCGACGGGUAGCCGGCCUGCGAGGGUGACCGGCCACAAUGGGACUGAGGUACGGCCCAGACGCGUACGGGCGGCAGCGGUGGAGAACAUUGCGGAGUAGCCGGGAGCCUGUUGCAGCGGCGCCGCGUGCGUGAUGACGGCCUUCGAGUUAUGAACCGCUGUCGCCGUUGACGAGGCGGGAGUGACGGUAAUGGGUAAAGAAGCACCGGCUAACUACGUG